ACUCAAAUUAUGAGUAAUUGAGACAAUUCUCAUAUCCUCCUUGUGCCUAUAUAGCACUUAUGAAAGAAAGAUAUAUUUCUGUGACAGAACACAGACUUCCUCUGCUUCACCAGAAUGAGUAAGGGAGAAAACAAAACCCUCUUUGGAGACUGUCUCUCUUGCAUGAACUCUACUUACCUAAUCAGUUCAUUUUAAGGCAAACGACUGCAGGUAGCAAUCCCACAUGUGGAAAAUUAUUCCCAAGCAUGGGAAAUGGACAAUAGAAAUUCAAAACUAGUAACUGGACGUUCACUUAAAUAUUGCAUUAAUAAAAGCUUUCUAGAAUUAAUAAUAUUAUCAAUCAUAACAUUAUUAAUAACACUGUUUUGGUCAAACUCUAACUUUCCUAUUCACUUCUUUUCCAGAUAAAUCUGCAUUGACUUUCAUAAAAGGUUACUAUAUGGAGAAACCCUCUGGGAUUCCUUUCUUCAGAACAGCAGGGCCCCUGUGAUGGAGAUCUCCUGGAGCACAACCUGAACAGAUCCACACUGGAGCUGGCUGCAGCUUGCAGCUCCACAGGGCUAAAAUGUGUUGUUUUACUUAAUCUUCACUGCACAGAUGCAUUCCAGCACCAACAGUGCUGUUGCAGAUAUUAAGAGUUUUGAUAAUCGAACAAGAAAAUGCUUAUUGUCAGCUGUGGUGCCAGAACACUGGGGGAGUGAAGCUGAGGGAGAAGAAUUUAAUUUAAAAUGCUGACUCUUAACUUCAGUUCUGGCUUGCCCCCUCCUUUUCUUCAUUUGCAUUACCAAACCAAAAUAAGAUUUCUAUGUGUGUUUUAGUUUCUGUGGUUUUGAGAGAAAAGAAAAAAACCUGUUCUUCACCUACAAAAUCCACUGACUGAUGAGAAGGAUGCUAAGGGUAUCCUAUGGUCUAGUGAGAAGAUGAACAGCAGGAUUCACUUCACUUUGUUUGACACAACAAAGAGUAGUUGAAAAUCACAUUUGGCUUUUCUCAAGCUUUCAGAAAUUAUAUUAAAGCAUCUUUCUGCCUUUGCUCCUCUAUAAAUUUGUAGAGUCAAUGCUACAUCUUUUCCCCCACUUCCACCAAAGAGAUAGGAAUGCAGCUUUCUUCCUCUUUUUGUGGACUUGACCCUUUGGAGAAGAGUUAUUUACACCAUUCUAAAAUUCUAAAAUUGUGAAAGUUUUCCUGUUUCAUGUCUAUCAUAGAGAAUGCAAAGUAUUCCUAUCUAAUACAAAUUCUGCAAUUUGGGAUUUCCAUAUCUUCACAUGCUGGCAACAGGAAAUUAUGAAAUUCAUCUUGCAACAGACAACACUGUACUACUGUUGUAUCAAGUAAAUUUUUUUGUUUGUUUUGGAGUUUUUAAGCUAUGGAGUGUUGUUUUGAAUUGAAAUAAAUACAUGAAG